UUCUGAAGUUGGGUGGGGUGAUUUACGGCAGAUGAGAGAAACUUUGCUUAUACUCUUCUCUGUUCUCAGCUGUGACAACUGCUUCUUCUCGGAUCUUUUCCCUUUGAUUUGUCCUAUUUUAUCGGCUGUUUUUUUGGGUCUUUGAGGUCAUUUGUUAAAAUGUUGUGCCUCUCACCAUUUGUGACAGGAUUUUGAAUAUCUGUUACAAGAGACUUCAAGGGAUGGAUUUUGCUUCUUCAUUACUUCGACACCAAUUAGCAAAUUAGAUGUCGACAAUGCUCUCUCGGUCGGUAGUUCGGGACUUGUGCCGGUGCAGCCUUCAGGGUUUGCUCUAAUGCCUGAUGGACCUGACGGCUUCAAUUCUAAUGCAUCAUUGGUGACAGUUGCCAUCCAACAAUAACUUAACAAUACAGACACUGAUCAAGCAAUUCCAACAAUGUGUUAUCUUGUUAACGCCAUCAUUAAAGAGAUAUCUGAAGAAGCAUAUAUAAUGUCAAUACAGUAGUCAUUCUGACGUGAGAACGAAAGUGGAUUUUCAAUGCAAUAAUUCUUGAUGAACAUAAUGUUGAAGUUUCGUAUGAUUGGUCAAUAUUAGUGAAUCGUUAUUGGCAGCAAUUACAUCCUCUCCAAGAUAAUCUUGUAGCUGCUUGUCUGCCAUCAACGAUUCAAGAUGAUUCCCCACUGAUCAAAUCUGGAUAUUGGUGUAUUCCACUGAUGAAUUAUGUUCAGGAAUUUGAAAGUAGGCUUGAACCUGUCCUUGAGAAUCUGAAUUUGCAAAAUAUAACAGUUUGAAUGGCCAGUCGAACUUGGUUAAUAUCUGUUGAUAAUGGACAUCUCAAUGUUGGCAUGUUGAGCGACUUCCUCCAUCCUCUCCAGUUUCAACUAUAUGACUAUGUAUUCAAUGGGCAUGACGGACGUGCCAUGCACGUCGCGA